GAUGAACGCUGGCGGCGUGCCUAAUACAUGCAAGUCGAGCGAACAGACGAGGCGCUUGCUCCUCUCACGUUAGCCGCGGACGGGUGAGUAACACGUGGAUACCCCCCCUAUAAGACUGGUAACACCUCGGGACACCGGCUCUAAUCCCGGAUAAUCUAUUGAUCCGCAUUGUGCAUUAGUAAAUGACGGUUUUGCUGUAACUUCUCGAUGCAUCCGCGCCGCAUUAGCUGGUUGGUACGGUAAAGGCUUACCAAGGCAACGAUGCGUAACCGACCUGAGAGGGUGAUCGCCCACCCGGGAAGUGAAACGCCGUCCUGACUCCUACGAGAGGCAGCAGAAUGGAAUCGUCCGCAAUGGUCGAGAGCCUGACAGAGCGACGCCGAGUGAGAGAUGAAGGUCUUGGGAGCGUAAAACUCGGUUAUGAGUGAUGAACAAAUGUGUAAGUAACUGUGCACGUCUUGACGGUACCUAAUCAGAAAGCCACGGCUAACUACGUG
rnacentral:rRNA from 1 species